AGUGAACGCUGGCGGUAGGCCUAACACAUGCAAGUCGAACGGCAGCACAGUAAGAGCUUGCUCUUACGGGUGGCGAGUGGCGGACGGGUGAGGAAUACAUCGGAAUCUACUUUUUCGUGGGGGAUAACGUAAGGAAACUUACGCUAAUACCGCAUACGACCUACGGGUGAAAGCAGGGGAUCUUCGGACCUUGCGCGAUUGAGUGAGCCGAUGUCGGAUUAGCUAGUUGGCGGGGUAAAGGCCCACCAAGGCGACGAUCCGUAGCUGGUCUGAGAGGAUGAUCAGCCACACUGGAACUGAGACGCGGUCCAGACUCCUACGGGAGGCGGCAGUGGGGAAUAUUGGACAAUGGGCGCAAGCCUGAUCCAGCCAUACCGCGUGGGUGAAGAAGGCCUUCGGGUUGUAAGGCCCUUUUGUUGGGAAAGAAAAGCAGCAGGUUAAUACCCCGCUGUUCUGACGGUACCCAAAGAAUAAGCACCGGCUAACUUCGUG
rnacentral:rRNA from 1 species